ACACGACGAUCUCGAGUCAGUGCUUUCUAAAAUCUGCCAAGUGACGGUGUCUGUAAUCUCUGUCUUUGAAUCCCGUGCACUUUCACGUAAUUCACUAUGGCAGAGGAAGAAAAAGAAAAGGCGACUGUUAAAUGGACGUUUUGGUUAGAACUAGCCAAGACCGUUCUUAUAUUUUUGGCUGUGUGCGGAUUUGGUGCGAUGUUUUUAGGUUAUAACGUCAGCACGUGCGUUUACGCCGCGGCGGGCAUGAAAAUGUGCUGGAUGGCUUCCCGGCAGCUGAUGAAGGCGUGAGUCCCUGUCCACCUUUCCAACAAAGACUAUAUCUUUUAUAGUCUUUUCCAUCUACGUCAUUUCCUCUGCCCUCCAUCUCCCACCUUCCUUCGCUAAGCUAAGACACCCAAGGCAGGCAACUGACAACACGACGAAACCGAAAAACUCAUUGGGUGCGGCGUCGCCAAGCGUGAGAACUGCGGACGCCAAUGGUUAAUAAAAACAUUUGCAGAAGCUUUCACGUAAAGGGAAAAUAUUAUCUAAGCACCCCGUCGUGCCAGUACAACUCAGAUUAAACUUUCUCAUAUUUA